AGAGUUUGAUCCUAGCUCAGGAUGAACGCUAGCUACAGGCUUAACACAUGCAAGUCGAGGGGCAGCAUGAACUUAGCUUGCUAAGUUUGAUGGCGACCGGCGCACGGGUGAGCAACACGUAUCCAACCUUCCGUUUACUCAGGGAUAGCCUUUCGAAAGAAAGAUUAAUACCUGAUAGUAUGGUGAGAUUGCAUGAUAACACCAUUAAAGAUUUAUUGGUAAACGAUGGGGAUGCGUUCCU
rnacentral:rRNA from 1 species